rnacentral:rRNA from 1 species
GAUGAACGCUGGCGGCGUGCUUAACACAUGCAAGUCGAACGGAAAGGCUCCUGCUUGCAGGGGUACUCGAGUGGCGAACGGGUGAGUAACACGUGGGUGAUCUGCCCUGCACUUCGGGAUAAGCCUGGGAAACUGGGUCUAAUACCGGAUAGGACGAUGGUUUGGAUGCCAUUGUGGAAAGUUUUUCGGUGUGGGAUGAGCUCGCGGCCUAUCAGCUUGUUGGUGGGGUAAUGGCCUACCAAGGCGUCGACGGGUAGCCGGCCUGAGAGGGUGUACGGCCACAUUGGGACUGAGAUACGGCCCAGACUCCUACGGGAGGCAGCAGUGGGGAAUAUUGCACAAUGGGCGCAAGCCUGAUGCAGCGACGCCGCGUGGGGGAUGUCGGCCUUCGGGUUGUAAACUCCUUUCGCUAGGGACGAAGCGUUUUGUGACGGUACCUGGAGAAGAAGCACCGGCUAACUACGUG